GGUCCGGUUGAGUGCAUCUGAUAGGCCGACACUCUAGUCUCAUGGCCAAAAUAUAACAGCUCUCCAAGGAAAACCCUCGUGUAUAAUUCACAAGUUUUGAUCAUAGAAAACUGCAUUAACUUGGGUAAUCAUGUCCGGGAGUAGCGGUCCAAAUCAGAAGCAAGAGAGCGAGGAUGAAUGUGACAUUGACAAUCUUUUGGCAUCUUUAACGUCUGCCGAGGUGGAAGAGUUGGAAAAUGAGUUUAUCGACAUUGAUCCGGACCCAGAUGUGCCAGUCGGCCUCAGGCAGAGAAACCAGACUGAAAAGCAGCCGUCAAUCCAAUACAACAGAGGUGCAAUGCUGGACUUCUGUGAGCGCGAGACCAAGAAACUAAUUGAGAGAGAGCUGAGCUUUGAGGGGGAGUCUAAACCUGACCGAGCGAAACAAGAUAACUUGAAGAAUAUGGGGAAGAGCUGUGAAAGUUUCUUCUCUGUGCCAGACGACCAGGAUGGCUUUGGCUUCGAUAGUCAAAAGCAGGACAGAUGCAAAGAGGAAAUCCCAGACAACAAGAAACUCAAAUAUGUCAACAAAGGUCAAAAGGUCAAAGAGGAAAAAAGUCCACAUAAAAUGACUUGGGGUGAAGGUAAAGGAGAUGAGGUAAUUGAGAAGAACAAAGAAAGCCAGGUGGGACAGGAAAAAGGGGAAGGGUGCAAGAAAAUUGAAAAAAGCACUUGCAAAACACUUGACCUCAUCUCAAAAUUACAAAGCAAAAAUUACAGUAAAACUGAAAAGGACAAAAAAGAAGAGUGCAGAAGGAAAAUAGACUGCAAAACCAAAGAGCUCAUUUCAAAACUGCAUGGACAAGGGGAGAAAGAGGAGAAAGAUAAGAACAGGAAAGGAAAAUCACAGAAGCUAACAGAUAGUAAGAUGGGAAUGUUUUUAAAGGAAGGGGACAGAGAAACAGAUUGUAAGGUUCCAGUCAUAAAGGCCCAGAGGGACAGUGAGAAGGACCAUGAUAAGAGGGAAAACACAAACUCUGUGAAACAAAGAAAAUCUCCAAGGGAGAGAGAGAAGGACUGUAAUAAUGCAACUGAAAAAACUGUCCAUAAACAUUGUAAAUCCAGCCAGGUAGAACCAAAGAACAGCAACAGGGAAGAUUCAGCACUUGAGGAAGUAAGGGAAGAGGAAGACGUCUCCAGCAUGUUCGACCAACUUCUUGAAAGAGUCAGAAAAGAUGAUCCUUUGUUGACUGAGCUCAAUGUUAACAACUCAGAUGUCAUAAAGACUCUGACUCUGACUCAGUUUGCAGAGGCAUUAUUAGAAAACAGGCACAUCAAGACCUUUGCUUUGGCAAAUACCAGAGCUGAUGACCGUGUAGCUUAUGCUGUUGCCAACACACUACGGAGGAACACCUGUCUGACCAGCAUCAACCUAGAUUCCAAUCACCUUACAGGCAAAGGCAUUCUGGCCCUCAUACAUGCCUUGGAGAGCAACACGUCUCUCACCGAGCUGCGCUUCCACAACCAACGGCAUAUUUGUGGUGGAAAGACAGAGAUGGAGAUGACCAAGACCUUGAGGGAGAACUCCACGUUGUUGAAACUAGGUUACAAUUUUGAGCUGGCUGGCCCAAGGAUGACCAUGACUAACAUCCUGAGCAGAAAUAUGGAUCAGCAGAGGCAACGCAGGAUGCAGGACAAGAAACAGGCUGAUCAGGAUCUGCAGACCGCAUUGAAUCGGAAAACAUCUCACCAGUCAUCUCAGCAGGUUCAAACUUCUGGAAAGGCAACACAUAAACUUCCUUCAGACAUGGAUCAGACCAACAAAAAAAUACGCACAUUGCCUCUUGUCAAAGGAAAGGGCAAGCCUCUUCCGAGUAUCGCCACUGUUGAAUCCUCAAUGAAACGCUCCUACAAAGCAACCCCUAAUGCAGAAAGUGCACAACCGAGGCCAGUGGAUGUUUUACCCCCACCUCCUCCACCUGUCCCUGUACUAGAAAGCUUGUCCUUAAGGAAGUCCCUGACACCAGUGACACAGAGAAAACCUAAUGGGCAGACUUCACGCCACGAGGGAGGGAGGAACUCUAGGGAUCAGUUGCUGCUUUCUAUUCGUAACAGCACCUUAAAAGUUCUCAAGAAGGUUGAUGUUCCAAAGCUGCUUCGCUAGGAACCAAACCAAGAAGAGUCAUAUAUUACAUUAAUUUUACAUUGCAGAUAAUUGAUAUACAGGUGGUUCUGUCAGGGCCAGAGAAUUAUGUUGGAACCUAGAGAGAAGUUACAAAGUACGACUGAGAGGGUAACAAACGAUGUGGCAAUAUGAUUAUUUAUUGGAAUUUAAACAGGACUUUUUCAAACGAGGCCACACAGACUACCGUGUGCAAGUUAUGUUGAGAACAUAACAGGAAGUUGUUAGCCUGAUAAGAGUGGCUUGUGUAGAGUUUGCAAUGUUAAGUAUAAAUCUCGACAAGUGUUGUGGAAUUAUCCUUUUUUUAAUGUUCACAACUUGUUUGUUUGAAAAACAAGCUUUAUAUUUAUUAACUUGGUAAUAAUAUGCACACAACAUGAGGCACAUAGUAGUUUGCAAUUACAUGUAUAAGUUACGUUUGCAGUUACAUAUAAGCCUGCACUAGGCCUCCUGUUGACCUAAGUGUCAUUUAGUUGGAUCUCAAAGCUUGUUUCUUUUGCGUCCAGGCAAUGCCCAUAUUUAGUCUGCAGUGAAGAUGGUAUGAUGUAAGAAUAAUUCCUCUAUUUACUUUAAUUACCAGGGAAUGGCCAGAAGGGUGUCUUGCUCCUUCACAGACAGUGAAAGGGGGUUAGAAGGAGGAGGGUCAUGGGGAUUAAAGGAAGAUGAAAGGGGGAAGAGCAGAACGUAACAUUUGCAAGCUGCCACAUUUAAGAACACUAUUGUCUCUUUACAAACCCACUUAUAAUCACUGAAUCUCAGUGCCAAAGUAUCAGUCAAGGUAACAUACAGUAGGUACACAUGUCUUGGUUGGUUUCUUAUUUGUAGAGGAUGGUGGUGUAAUAUUUUAGUCUAUCGUGUGUGGUAGAAUGUAUUUGAUAUUCAAAUAAAGUGUACUUGACAAGCCCUUCAGUGGCCAACACGGCUGAGAAUUGACAGUUGUUGUUCACAGAACAUGUUGUCACUUUUUGGACUAUGUGUGUAAUAUAAAGCUGCCAAAUAAUGUUAUUUUAGUUGGGUUAAAUAAGGCAUAGCUCACAUCCUGGUUUACAAUGUUGAUGAUGAACAAUAGUGGGGCUUCCUGGGAUGUGUCUGCAAAAUAUUGUACUUGUCUGUGAAACUUCCUUCCUGGUGUUAGGACAGCACCCAGGGAAUUUUCUACUUCCUAUUAUAAUACAAUUACAACCAUUGGCCACAGCAGUUGAUUGUGCUGAAAGAGAUAGAUUUAUGCAUUUAUUUUUAUGUGUGGAAAUGACAAAUUAUAAGGUCUUCUUUUUAUUGACAGGUAAGUUUGAAUGAAAAAGUAUUUACAUUACACUGGUAGUUCAAAUAAGGUAUGCUAUUUGUAAGAAUUAUUGUUUAUCAAACCACAGUAAGACAUUGCAAAGUAUUUUUUGUGUGUAUUAUGUUCAUUCUUACAAUGUGAUAGACAAUUGCAGAUUUCUUUUCAUCAAGGUAUAUUUUGUUAUGUGAGCGGGAAAAGAAAAAAUGGAUCACAUGGACGAGAAGGUGGAUGUUUAGAUAUUAUCUGUUCAUAUCCAGAUGGAUAUCAGAAUGUACCUAAAUACUUGUGUCUACACCCCUGCACCACCAAAAAUCAUGUUCUCAUCAAAAGUGAGAAAGCUAAUGAUGUAGUUCAGAAUGGAAGAUUUAGCCUCUAUGACAAUGUACAUGGGCGCACUUUUACUGUUACUAUCAAACACCUGGAAUCUCAAGAUGCUGGAUCAUAUUACUGUGGACUUGAUCAAUGGGGAAGAGAUGUAAUGAUCAAAGUAGAGGUCUCCGUUAGUAAAGCUUUACCCUCUCAACCUGCAUUGGAUCCUGAGAUUGAAAGCAAGGACACCUAUGAGAUAAACAACUGCAGAUCUUUAUGCACAGAAAUCCACAACUCUACAACGCAGGUUUAUACUGGUAAAAACUCACCAUAUUGCAUAUCACUUUAUCAUACCAGCACAUUGUCCCUCACUGGCUUCUCUUUUUCGGACAAGGUGCCUGUUGGAGAUGGGGAUGAAACACCUCCAACAUUUCCUACACUUCCUAUUGACAUCUCAGGUUAAAUAACUUAAUGAAUAGCUUUGGUGACACAUUUUGAAACUGGAAAACCAAACUAUCUUAAAUCAAACAAAUCCUUCCUCAGGUCAUGCAAGUGUCAACAUUAUCAUUGGCACCUUCUUUGGAUUGUUAGCAUGCAGCUUUCUGGUUGCACUUGGAAUCCUCAGAGAACGUGCUAAGUCAAGUUCACUUUCUUUUCAAGCAUCACAAGUAUCAGAUCAUUUAAAUGUUUUACAAGAUGAAAAUGACCCUGGCCAUGUCUAUAAUGAGAUAACUGAAUGGAUGGAGGAGGACUUGUAUCACACAAUAGAGAUAUGGGAACCUCCACAAGAAAUGGACAGCAAUGCUGUCUACUCUGUUCUGACACUGAAUUAACAAAAUUACGUAUUGGUUCUACUAUAGGUGCCAAAAGAACAACAACUUAUUCCUCUCGUUUCUUUCAAAGCAGUGUUGCUUAUGGUAGGCCCAGGCUAUAGCCUAUUUAAUCAUGCAGAAGUCACACAGCUUGCAUGUUUCCUGAAAUUGCAGUUUAUCUUUGUGAAACACGGAGGAAACAUGGUUGUAGAUAUAAUUUACAAAGUUUGUUUUCUCCCUGUACUUGAAACAAAUAUUUGUAUAUUUUAAUUUAACCCUAAAUGUAUUUUACAUACAU